rnacentral:rRNA from 1 species
GAUUAACGCUGGCGGCGUGCCUAACACAUGCAAGUCGAGCGGCAGCGAGUUUUACGCUGAAUUCUGGAAGCUUCUAGUUGCAAGAGAAGAUUUAUUCAAGAAUUUUGUGUAAAAUGUCGGCGAGCGGCGGACGGCUGAGUAACGCGUGGGAACGUACCCCAAAGUGAGGGAUACCGCAUCGAAAGGUGUGCUAAUACCGCCUAUGGUCUUCGGAUUAACGCCUUCGGGUGCUUUGGGAACGAACUGCGUACGAUUAGAUAGUUGGAGUGGUAAUGGGCUACCAAGUCGAGGAUCUCUAACUGGGAUGUGAGGAAGAGCACACAGACCGGAACUGGGACACAGUAGAGACUCUUACGGGAGGCAGCAGUGACGAAUCGUCCAAAACCGGCUAAAGGAUGAUGGAGCAAGGCUCGGUGCAGGAUGAAGUUCUUCGGGUUGUAAACUGCUAGUAUAUGUGAGGAUUAUGACAGUAACUAAUGAAUAAGGAUCGGCUAACUACGUG